CUAUCUUAGUGGCGGACGGGUGAGUAACGCGUGGGUAACCUGCCUUGCACUGGGGGAUAACACUUAGAAAUAGGUGCUAAUACCGCAUAACAGGAGAAGACGCAUGUCUUUUCCUUAAAAACUCCGGUGGUGUAAGAUGGACCCGCGUCUGAUUAGCUUGUUGGCGGGGUAACGGCCCACCAAGGCGACGAUCAGUAGCCGGCCUGAGAGGGUGAACGGCCACAUUGGGACUGAGACACGGCCCAAACUCCUACGGAAGGCAGCAG
rnacentral:rRNA from 1 species